GCUGGGCAUGGUAGAGCACACCUGUAAUCCCAGCUGCUCAUGAGGCUGAGGCAGGGGGAUCAUGUGUUCAAAGCCAGUUUCAGCAAAAGCAAGGUGCUAAGAAACUCAGUGAGACCCUGUCUCUA
rnacentral:sRNA from 1 species